CUUUAGCAGCUUAAUAACCUGCUCUGAGCCCUCUCUCCCUAGCUUCCGCUCUUAAGACGGGGAUCAAAGAGAGGUCAAACCCAAAAGAGAUCGCGUGGAGGCCCUGCCUGGGGUUGAAGCGUUAAAUCUAAUCAGGCUAGUCUGGUAGUGGCGUGUCUGUCCGCAGGUGCCAGGCGAAUGUAAAGACUGACUAAGCAUGUAGUACCGAGGAUGUAGGAAUUUCGGACGCGGGUUCAACUCCCGCCAGCUCCACCA
rnacentral:tmRNA from 1 species